rnacentral:rRNA from 1 species
AACCUGGUUGAUCCUGCCAGUAUCGCAUUUCUCAGUUAAAAGAUUAAUCCAUGCAUGUGUUCGGCACUUUUUGUGAGUGCCUGCAAACGGCUCAUUACAACAGAGAUAACCUACUCUCCGAAACAGACGGAUAACUAUGCUAAUUGUGUGGCUAAUACGCGAGACAAAGCUUCUGGCUUGCCCCAAUUAUGUUGAAAGCUCGUAACCUGAUUGUUUAUUGGGUGUUUAGACUGAUCGUAGUCUAUGGAGAAUGGGUCUCUGAUCUAUCAGCUGUGGACGGUUGUGUAUUGGACAACCGUGGCUUUGACGGAUAACGGGGAAUUAGGGUUCGGUUCCGGAGAGAACGCAUGAGAAACGGCGUUCACAGCUAAGGUUGGCAGCAGGAGCGAAAACUUUUCGAAUAGGCAAUGCCUGAAAAGGUAACUAUCCGUAUCGACAGCUGCCUCUGGUAGUUGAUCGGAAUGGGAGACUUUUAGACGUAGUCUCGAGUAGCAAGUUCAGGGCAAGUCUGGUGCCAGCAGCCGCGGUAAUACCAGCUGAGCUAGAAAUGGGCAACAUUGUUGCAGUAAAAACGUACGUAGUCAUCUUCGUUUAGCCUGUUUGGGUCUGUACUCAUUCAGCUUUACGCUUUGGGGGCCUUCUCUAUGCCCGACACUCCGCGAGUAAAGUAGAACGAUUAACUUGAAUGUUGCAUAUGACAGCGUGGGAAAUCUGAUGAUGCCUAUUGAUUUUGUUGCUUUUCUUAAUCUUAGGGAUAAACUGUAGGAAUGAAUGAGGGCAUUAGUACUUAGUAGCUAGAGGUGAAAUUCCUAGAUUUGCUAAUGACUGACGACUGCGAAAGCAUUUGCCUAAUUCAUUUUCGGUGAUCAAGUACCAAAGAGUGGGGAUCGAAGAGGAUUAGAUACCCUCGUAGUCCACUCCCUAAACUAUGCCGACUAGAGGUUGGUAUGUGUU